rnacentral:rRNA from 1 species
GACGAACGCUGGCGGCGUGCUUAACACAUGCAAGUCGAACGGAAAGGCCCUGCUUUUGUGGGGUGCUCGAGUGGCGAACGGGUGAGUAACACGUGAGUAACCUGCCCUUGACUUUGGGAUAACUUCAGGAAACUGGGGCUAAUACUGGAUAGGAGCUCCUGCUGCAUGGUGGGGGUUGGAAAGUUUCGGCGGUUGGGGAUGGACUCGCGGCUUAUCAGCUUGUUGGUGGGGUAGUGGCUUACCAAGGCUUUGACGGGUAGCCGGCCUGAGAGGGUGACCGGCCACAUUGGGACUGAGAUACGGCCCAGACUCGUACGGGAGGCAGCAGUGGGGAAUAUUGCACAAUGGGCGGAAGCCUGAUGCAGCAACGCCGCGUGCGGGAUGACGGCCUUCGGGUUGUAAACCGCUUUCGCCUGUGACGAAGCGUGAGUGACGGUAAUGGGUAAAGAAGCACCGGCUAACUACGUG